UGCAGAAUCCCGUGAACCAUCGAGUCUUUGAACGCAAGUUGCGCCCCAAGCCUUCUGGCCGAGGGCACGUCUGCCUGGGUGUCACAAAUCGUCGUCCCCCCAUCCUCUCGAGGAUAUGGGACGGAAGCUGAUCUCCCGUGUGUUACCGCACGCGGUUGGCCAAAAUCCGAGCUAAGGACGUCAGGAGCGUCUUGACAUGCGGUGGUGAAUUUAAUUCUCGUCAUAUAGUCAGACGUUCCGGUCCAAAAGCUCUUGAUGACCCAAAGUCCUCAACGCGACCCCAGGUCAGGCGGGAUCACCCGCUGAGUUUAAGCAUAUCAAUAAGCGGAGGAAAAGAAACUAACAAGGAUUCCCUUAGUAACGGCGAGCGAACCGGGAAGAGCCCAGCUUGAAAAUCGGACGUCUUCGGCGUUCGA
rnacentral:rRNA from 1 species